GGGAUUUCAGAGAGCCAAAAAGAGUUAAGAUAGGCUGGCUGUGCUCCAGGUUGUGUGUCGUUGUCUCAUUGUGGAUGCUGAGGAUGUUAGCACUCUGAAGGAAGCUUUUGUGUCAUCUGACAGGAAUCAUUGAACACUGACUGGACUCCAGCACAAUGCAGCUCGUUUUCACUGUCUGAAUUUCGUCUGCACCCAUGAAAAGCAAGUCAGAGGUGUGAGAAGACUGCUUCACCUUGGACUUGCCUUUGUUGUGUUUUGUGUUUUUUCUAGAGAGCCACUGCAAGGCCCAGGAUGAAGAGAGACAGUGAGAAGAUCCCAACCAUUUAUCACUGACACCGGCAUCUGUGGUCUCAGAAUGAAAUCCCAAAAUGAUGCAGGAGUGCCCCCUCGUGACUUGAAGCACCUGCUCAGCUGGAAACUGAAUUUCAGGUGAAGUUGAGGGACCCCAUCUAUUUCUCACCAGAUUGUAUCCUCACCUCUAUCUGAUCUUGUUGCUGUUCACAUUUUAUGUCCCAAGAUAAAGUCCCAAUAUGAUGGAAGAGGCCUUCCUCAUGACUUGAAGCACCUACUCAUCUGGGGAAAAUUUAGGUGAAUUCAAGUGGCCCUGUGGACAGGACUAGUAGUGUCUCUCCCUGGGUUGGUCAUAUGACAAUAAAAUCCUAAGAAAG
rnacentral:lncRNA from 1 species